rnacentral:rRNA from 1 species
UCAGAUUGAACGCUGGCGGAAUGCUUUACACAUGCAAGUCGAACGGUAGAGGGGGCAACCCCUUGAGAGUGGCGAACGGGUGAGUAAUAUAUCGGAACGUGCCCAGUCGUGGGGGAUAACGUAGCGAAAGCUACGCUAAUACCGCAUACGAUCUAUGGAUGAAAGCGGGGGAUCGCAAGACCUCGCGCGAUUGGAGCGGCCGAUAUCAGAUUAGGUAGUUGGUGAGGUAAAGGCUCACCAAGCCGACGAUCUGUAGCUGGUCUGAGAGGACGACCAGCCACACUGGGACUGAGACACGGCCCAGACUCCUACGGGAGGCAGCAGUGGGGAAUUUUGGACAAUGGGCGCAAGCCUGAUCCAGCAAUGCCGCGUGCAGGAUGAAGGCCUUCGGGUUGUAAACUGCUUUUGUACGGAACGAAACGGUGAGCUCUAAUACAGUUUGCUAAUGACGGUACCGUAAGAAUAAGCACCGGCUAACUACGUG